rnacentral:rRNA from 1 species
UACGGAGGGUGCAAGCGUUAUCCGGAUUCACUGGGUUUAAAGGGUGCGUAGGCGGGUUGGUAAGUCCGUGGUGAAAUCUCCAGCUUAACUUGGAAACUGCCGUGGAUACUAUCAAUCUUGAAUAUCGUGGAGGUAAGCGGAAUAUGUCAUGUAGCGGUGAAAUGCUUAGAUAUGACAUAGAACACCAAUUGCGUAGGCAGCUUACUACACGAUCAUUGACGCUGAGGCACGAAAGCGUGGGGAGCAAACAGG